rnacentral:rRNA from 1 species
AAAUUGAAGAGUUUGAUCAUGGCUCAGAUUGAACGCUGGCGGCAGGCCUAACACAUGCAAGUCGAACGGUAACAGGAAGCAGCUUGCUGCUUCGCUGACGAGUGGCGGACGGGUGAGUAAUGUCUGGGAAACUGCCUGAUGGAGGGGGAUAACUACUGGAAACGGUGGCUAAUACCGCAUAACGUCGCAAGACCAAAGAGGGGGACCUUCGGGCCUCUUGCCAUCAGAUGUGCCCAGAUGGGAUUAGCUAGUUGGUGAGGUAACGGCUCACCAAGGCGACGAUCCCUAGCUGGUCUGAGAGGAUGACCAGCCACACUGGAACUGAGACACGGUCCAGACUCCUACGGGAGGCAGCAGUGGGGAAUAUUGCACAAUGGGCGCAAGCCUGAUGCAGCCAUGCCGCGUGUAUGAAGAAGGCCUUCGGGUUGUAAAGUACUUUCAGCGGGGAGGAAGGUGUUGUGGUUAAUAACCGCAGCAAUUGACGUUACCCGCAGAAGAAGCACCGGCUAACUCCGUGCCAGCAGCCGCGGUAAUACGGAGGGUGCAAGCGUUAAUCGGAAUUACUGGGGCGUAAAGCGCACGCAGGCGGUCUGUCAAGUCGGAUGUGAAAUCCCCGGGCUCAACCUGGGAACUGCAUUCGAAACUGGCAGGCUUGAGUCUUGUAGAGGGGGUAGAAUUCCAGGUGUAGCGGUGAAAUGCGUAGAGAUCUGGAGGAAUACCGGUGGCGAAGGCGGCCCCCUGGACAAAGACUGACGCUCAGGUGCGAAAGCGUGGGGAGCAAACAGGAUUAGAUACCCUGGUAGUCCACGCCGUAAACGAUGUCUACUUGGAGGUUGUGCCCUUGAGGCGUGGCUUCCGGAGCUAACGCGUUAAGUAGACCGCCUGGGGAGUACGGCCGCAAGGUUAAAACUCAAAUGAAUUGACGGGGGCCCGCACAAGCGGUGGAGCAUGUGGUUUAAUUCGAUGCAACGCGAAGAACCUUACCUGGUCUUGACAUCCACAGAACUUUCCAGAGAUGGAUUGGUGCCUUCGGGAACUGUGAGACAGGUGCUGCAUGGCUGUCGUCAGCUCGUGUUGUGAAAUGUUGGGUUAAGUCCCGCAACGAGCGCAACCCUUAUCCUUUGUUGCCAGCGGUUAGGCCGGGAACUCAAAGGAGACUGCCAGUGAUAAACUGGAGGAAGGUGGGGAUGACGUCAAGUCAUCAUGGCCCUUACGACCAGGGCUACACACGUGCUACAAUGGCGCAUACAAAGAGAAGCGACCUCGCGAGAGCAAGCGGACCUCAUAAAGUGCGUCGUAGUCCGGAUUGGAGUCUGCAACUCGACUCCAUGAAGUCGGAAUCGCUAGUAAUCGUGGAUCAGAAUGCCACGGUGAAUACGUUCCCGGGCCUUGUACACACCGCCCGUCACACCAUGGGAGUGGGUUGCAAAAGAAGUAGGUAGCUUAACCUUCGGGAGGGCGCUUACCACUUUGUGAUUCAUGACUGGGGUGAAGUCGUAACAAGGUAACCGUAGGGGAACCUGCGGUUGGAUCACCUCCUUA